GCAAACUUGGUCAUUUAGAGGAAGUAAAAGUCGUAACAAGGUCUCCGUUGGUGAACCAGCGGAGGGAUCAUUACAGAGUUAUCCAACUCCCAAACCCAUGUGAACUUAUCUCUUUGUUGCCUCGGCGCAAGCUACCCGGGACCUACCCGAGAGGCCCGCCGGCGGACAAACCAAACUCAUGUUAUCUUAGUUGAUUAUCUGAGCGUCUUAUUUAAUAAGUCAAAACUUUCAACAACGGAUCUCUUGGUUCUGGCAUCGAUGAAGAACGCAGC
rnacentral:misc_RNA from 1 species